GAAGAAGUCCUGGCUAACUCCGUGCCAGCAGCCGCGGUAAUACGGAGAGGGCUAGCGUUAUUCGGAAUUAUUGGGCGUAAAGGGCGCGUAGGCUGGUUAAUAAGUUAAAAGUGAAAUCCCGAGGCUUAACCUUGGAAUUGCUUUUAAAACUAUUAAUCUAGAGAUUGAAAGAGGAUAGAGGAAUUCCUGAUGUAGAGGUAAAAUUCGUAAAUAUUAGGAGGAACACCAGUGGCGAAGGCGUCUAUCUGGUUCAAAUCUGACGCUGAAGCGCGAAGGCGUGGGGAGCAAACAGGAUUAGAUACCCUGGUAGUCCACGCUGU
rnacentral:rRNA from 1 species